ACUUAAAUAGUUUAAUAAAAAUAUUAAUUUGUGGGAUUAAAGAUAUAAAAUAAUUAUGAUAUUUUAAGUA
rnacentral:tRNA from 1 species